UACGAAGGGGGCUAGCGUUGCUCGGAAUCACUGGGCGUAAAGGGUGCGUAGGCGGGUCGUUAAGUCGGGGGUGAAAUCCUGGAGCUCAACUCCAGAACUGCCUUUGAUACUGAAGAUCUUGAGGUCGGGAGAGGUGAGUGGAACUGCGAGUGUAGAGGUGAAAUUCGUAGAUAUUCGCAAGAACACCAGUGGCGAAGGCGGCUCACUGGCCCGAUACUGACGCUGAGGCGCGAAAGCGUGGGGAGCAAACAGG
rnacentral:rRNA from 1 species